ensembl:lncRNA
GCCUUUUACUCAGGAAUCUCAGAAAACCCUUCUGAAACAUUGAGCCAAGCAGAACCAGAGGUGAAUCUUACCCACCUAGUGGUGGUCCUGCCAGCUAAAUGGGAAACCAGUGUGUCGAGUGGAUGAACCAAGAGGCACAGAGCAGACAACAAACAAAUAUUUUUUGAGAACUGGCCUCACAAUGUUCCAAACAAGGAGAGAAUGUGGAGAUGAGCUCUACAUUUGUCAGGGGCCUUAUGCCUCUGAUUUGGAUCAACAGUGUAGCAAAAUGUUUGUUCUCCAAAGGAAGCGGAGGUCACCUCUGCCAUAUGGGUCAUAACAAUCUGAAGCAGCCCUAUAGGCUUGGGGAAGAGAGGUUGGAAAGACACCUGGCAGAAAAGGACCUGGGGGUGUCAGCUGACAGCCAGCAGUGUGCCCAAGUGGUUGAGAAGACCGAUGGAAUACUGGCCUGCAUCAGAAAUGGUGUGGCCGGAGGAAUCAGUGAAGGGAUCAUCCCUUCGUAUGUGGCACUCAAAGUGUUGCCUAGGGAGGUGGUGGAAUCACCAUGCAUGGAAAUAUUUAAGAGACACGUGGAUGUGAUGCUAAGUGAAAUGGUUCAGUAAUGGAUUUGGCAGUGUCAGGUCAAUGGUUCAACUCGAUGACCUUAAGGUAAUCACUCCAACCUAAAUGAUUCUAUAAUUCCAUGAUUCUAUAUCUUAUGAUAGCCCCAUAAUGUGGAGAUGUCAAUUAUGGCCAAAGCAGCUGUGUUGGUAAACAGCUGUGUGUAAGCAAAUCAGAGCCCCUUAUUACCAUAGUAUGCCUUAUUUUGUCAGAUAAUGGUGGGAAGCUCUAUUUGUCAGAGAGUACCUUGCCUGUUUGGAUUGCUGGUAUAUCUACUCUAUGAUUCUACGCUAUCAGUGAAAAUAUUUCAGGUCCAACAGGCUGACUCUGCAACUCUGCAACCAAAGUCUUACUGACAACUAAAUAACGUGCUGGGGAAGUUUCUUUAACUCUACUAAUUCUAUUGCAAACUUAUCUGAGUCAUUUAGAGGAUGAUGCAUGUCUGAUUAUUUUUGCUAUUCUGGUGUGAGUCUGGAUACUACCUGUACUACGUGCUUCAGUAUUUUAGAAUUAGUCUUACAAAUUUCCAUUCUCAACAGCUUUUGAUAAUUCAGAAUUGUAAAUGAACUAGAUUUUUUGAAAAACUCUUUCUGAAUGAAACAAUACAAAAAUACAAUACCUCAGAAAUGAUGAAAUGCAUCCUUUUGAGGUUAUGACAUUUGUUUCCUGUAGGCAAUGAAAUUUUAGCACUUGCAGUCCUCUGAGUGUAGUUUCUAUCCAAUGCAUGUACUGCAGAGAACAGAACUAUUUCAGGUUAUUAUAUGCUAUCUCUUUUGUGCUUAGGAAAACCUUUUGGAAAGAGUAACAGUGAGGUCCGGCAGUCAUACACUUAAUCAGUCUAUACCUUAAUAUCUUAUUUCCAAUAGAGGUUAAUGUCAAUUUGAUUUACAUUACAGCAGGAAAUCCUGCAGUAGAAAAUAAUGGAGUAUACUGUCAUAUGAAAACUCUCUUAUUAUCACAUAGCUUCUUAAAAGCAGCAUAUUCCCUGAAAUACAAAGUUUAUGCGUCGUGUUAGAUAUUCUGGUUUCUACUUGUGUUACCUGAUGUUCUUGUUACCCUCACAAACUUCCUGUUUCUGGAAGGAAUGACGUCCUUUGGAAAUGAGUUGACACACUGUGCAUUUACACAGCUGAAAAAUACCUGUUUCCUUUUGCCAGUUAUAAAUGUGUUAUCUUUAGAUUAAAUGAAUGUUUACUUGUU